rnacentral:rRNA from 1 species
CAGCGCCGCGGUAAUACGGAGGGUGCGAGCGUUAAUCGGUGUAACUGGGCGUAAAGGGCACGCAGGCGGUGACUUAAGUGAGGUGUGAAAGCCCCGGGCUUAACCUGGGAAUUGCAUUUCAUACUGGGUCGCUAGAGUACUUUAGGGAGGGGUAGAAUUCCACGUGUAGCGGUGAAAUGCGUAGAGAUGUGGAGGAAUACCGAAGGCGAAGGCAGCCCCUUGGGAAUGUACUGACGCUCAUGUGCGAAAGCGUGGGGAGCAAACAGGAUUAGAUACCCCAGUAGUCCCUGUCUCUUAUACA